rnacentral:rRNA from 1 species
UACGUAGGCAGCAAGCGUUGUUCGGAGUUACUGGGCGUAAAGGGUGUGUAGGCGGUUGUUUAAGUUUGGUGUGAAAUCUCCCGGCUCAACUGGGAGGGUGCGCCGAAUACUGAAUGACUAGAGUGCGGGAGAGGAAAGUGGAAUUCCUGGUGUAGCGGUGAAAUGCGUAGAUAUCAGGAGGAACACCGGUGGUGUAGGCGGCGACCUGGACAAGUACUGACACUCAACUACGAAAGCGUGGGGAGCAAACAGG